rnacentral:rRNA from 1 species
GAUGAACGCUGGCGGCGUGCCUAAUACAUGCAAGUCGAGCGAACAGACGAGGAGCUUGCUCCUCUGACGUUAGCGGCGGACGGGUGAGUAACACGUGGAUAACCUACCUAUAAGACUGGGAUAACUUCGGGAAACCGGAGCCAAUACCGGAUAAUAUAUUGAACCGCAGGGAUCAAUAGUGAAAGACGGUUUUGCUGUCACUUAGAGAUGGAUCCGCGUCGCAUUAGCUAGUUGGUAAGGUAACGGCUUACCAAGGCAACGAUGCGUAGCCGACCUGAGAGGGUGAUCGGCCACACUGGAACUGAGACACGGUCCAGACUCCUACGGGAGGCAGCAGUAGGGAAUCUUCCGCAAUGGGCGAAAGCCUGACGGAGCAACGCCGCGUGAGUGAUGAAGGUCUUCGGAUCGUAAAACUCUUUUAUUAGGGAAGAACAAAUGUGUAAGUAACUAUGCACGUCUUGACGGUACCUAAUCAGAAAGCCACGGCUAACUACGUG